rnacentral:rRNA from 1 species
GUGAGGAAUAUUGGUCAAUGGGCGGGAGCCUGAACCAGCCAAGUCGCGUGAAGGAAGAAGGAUCUAUGGUUCGUAAACUUCUUUUGCAGGGGAAUAAAGUGCAGGACGUGUCCUGUUUUGUAUGUACCCUGAGAAUAAGGAUCGGCUAACUCCGUGCCAGCAGCCGCGGUAAUACGGAGGAUCCGAGCGUUAUCCGGAUUUAUUGGGUUUAAAGGGUGCGCAGGCGGGUUGAUAAGUCAGCGGUGAAAGUUUGCAGCUUAACUGUAAAAUUGCCGUUGAAACUGUCGAUCUUGAGUGCAAAUGAGGUAAGCGGAAUGUGUUGUGUAGCGGUGAAAUGCUUAGAUAUAACACAGAACACCGAUUGCGAAGGCAGCUUACUGGGAUGCAACUGACGCUCAUGCACGAAAGCGUGGGGAUCAAACAGGAUUAGAAACCCUGGUAGUCC